GAGCUCCGAUAUUGGUCUGACAUGUGGCGCAUUUGUUUGAGCAGGUUGCAGACACGGAAUUUGCUUUCGACUGUCCGCCACUGAUCAAGGUUACAGUCCAUCGAUCAGGGCCAAACCUGACCUCAGAGGACAGCAAGAAUGUUGUUUUGGCAAGAUAUGAGCCACGGACAUUUGUACAGACAGACAAGCCUGUUUACAAAGCUGGGCAAACAGUGAAGUUCAGAAUUGUGACACUAAAUGAGAAUUUCAUGGCUGUUCAGGAAAAGUAUUCCCUGAUAACCAUCUGGGUGAGUACAGCCUACAGAUUCCAACAUUAAUGCAAAUGUUAAAGUCAGACCAAACACACAACAGCUCCCAUUCCACCGGAAUGAACUGCCUCCUUUUCAGACAUAAUGUAAUAUUGUGAUUGUUCGUCACUACAAGUCCUUUUACACCAAGUUCAUUAAUUUAUCCUUUCUCAUUACAAAAUACUAAAUCUAAAAUGAGCACAACUUUGAGUUGGCUCAUCAACUCGCUGCUGGAGAGAAGCAGUUUUGGAACCCUUGUCCUCCAUAGCUUCAGUACUGAGUUCAGUCACCCAGCAGAAGUAUGGACAGGGUGAUUCUGUAUCCAUGGAAUCGUUUUCCGUGAUUUUAGUUACCCAUGUUUUACCGUGGCUGCAAUAGGUAAAAGGGAACCUACUAGAACCAGGGGGCUGCCAGGCAGGGAAACUUCUCAUCAAAAUGAUUGGGUUUGCUCCUAUCCACAGUAGGUUCUAGGAACGUAUCCCCUGUAGAUACGGAGGGGGCGAACCACUGUACUAUUGUCACACAUUGUAAAUGCUCAAGCUAUGUACUUCUCAUAUCUCCUGAUUAAUGCCAUGCCCUACACUGCCGUACUUAAUUGGUGGCCUAUAAAUUGCUGCAAUCAAUGGCUGCUACUCCCUUCCUAUUCCUUAGUCUAACCCAUGCAGAUUUCACACAAUCUUCUUCCAAUCCGCAAUCUUCCUUUAAUAAUGUACUGAUGCCAAACCUAAUUAUCAGCACAACUUUUCCUUCUUGUUUAGUCAUCCUAAAUGUUGAAUAUUCAAUUCCUAAUUCCAGUUACUUUGCAACCAAGUUUCUAUAAUGGCAAUUUGAUCAGACCCACUUAUUUUUGUUUAUGUCUUCAGAUUAUCAGCUUUGAUGUGAAUGCAGGUAGAGUGCCCGAAACUUUGUCCUUCCAAUAUCAUUCCACUUUUGAAAUACACUUCAUGCCAGGCCGUGGUUCUCCUGGUUUCUAGUCUUCCAGGAUCUUUUCAACUUCCCUUUACUAACAUUACAUCCUUUCAGAUUGGAUUCCCCUACAUUGUCCAAAACCUUCUCUUGAGCUAGUUUAAACCUCAGCCCAACAGCACGAGUAAAGCUCCCUUGUGAGCAUAUCAGUGCUAGUGUGUUAAGGUGUAACCCACUCAGUUGUACAGGUCUGACCUGCCCCAGAACUGCUCCCAAUGUCUCAGGAAUCGGAUUCCCUCCCUCCGGCAAUGUGUCCAAUUAGUCUGUCCUCCUGUUCUGAUGUUCAGUUCGCACGUGGCAUUGGGAGUAAUCCUGAGAUUACGGCUGUUGAGGUCCUGCAUUGCAAAUUUCUGCUGAACUCCCUGUAAUCUGCUUCAGGACCUUGUCCCUCUUCCUACCUUUGUCCUUAGUAUCAUUGUGGACCAUGACUGACCUCCCUGUCACUGAGGAUGGCCUACAGCUGCUGCCUGCUGUCAUUGAGUUUGGCAACAGGGAGGCAACACACCAUCCUGGAAUCACCUUUAUUGUCCCUGUAAAUCCUGAUGAUUCUCUGACUGUGGAAUCCCCUGUAACUAUUGCUCUUCCAUUCUUCAUCCCUGUCUCCUGAGUUGAGCUGGGUUGCCGAGUGGCUUGGUUCUGGCUGGCCUCCCAUAAAGACCUGUAUCUGAAGCAGAUUACCAAUUGGCAAGCACAAUGGACUCA